rnacentral:lncRNA from 8 species
UUUAAACACAACAUGUCAUAUUAUGCGAUCAUGGAAAUAAAAAGAAAACCGAAAUGGCGGGAGGAGGAAAGUCAACUUGCAGUGCAAGUUGAGAAAUACAAAAAUAUUAUCAAGGUUAAAUUUUGACCUACAUUGACCAGCCAGCACAGGAAGGAAUCCGAAUCAAUAAAUAGCACAUUUCAUUUGUUCCGUAAGAACCGCUGAAGAAUGUGAAAAACGCUGGUACACCAUCUAUCAAAAUGUAGGUUGGAGAUUACCAACUUCUGCAGGGAAACAGAAAAAACAGGAGGUGGCCCUCCACCUAAACCCCUCUGUGCCAUUGCUGAAUGUGUGUUUAUCUACCUGGGAUGCUCAAAUGUGACUAUCUUGUGCAUUGGAGAGGGCCAAGCUGCUGCGCUUGUGAGGGUCAACGAGCAGGAUAAUAACGCAUCUCUAGCUCCAGCGUCUGGCCCAGCGUCUGAGGGGACCUCCACCUCGCUGUUGCUGCAGUACAUCCAUCCACCAGCGGCUCACUGGAAGUUUUGGUCCCAACAAACCACGAUGAGGACAUUGCUCAGUUGCAACGGGAGAAGACGCAAUUAAAAAUCAAAGUUUUGCGCUUGCAGGAAGAAUAUUACUCUUACAAUAAAAAAGCUUAAGAAUUAAUAUGGUGUGUGUAUUUGUUCACAGUAAUCUAGCCUAUACUUAAAUGUUGGCCCACUAUGGCAUGUCUGUAUUGUGCUUUCCAACUCCUUAGGUUAAAGUUAAUCUGUAGCCAGUGGCAAAA